rnacentral:lncRNA from 1 species
AGAGCAGACCAAACGCCAAUGCAGAAGGCUCAAGAAAGAGGCAAACAGACUAGCCACUGCUCCAGGAUGACUGUGGCUCUUUAUGAGUGAAGAGAAAGGGUGGAGACUGAAGACAGAACUGGGGACAGUGACAGGCUUGGGGAAGAACAGCUGAUUCAGCAGUCCCAAGGGACUGGCUUAAAAAUGGUCUAAUGAAAUGUCAAAAGAGUUCUCCUGUGGAGCUUCGGAGAAGUUUCCUUACCCUUUAAAAAAAGAAAAGAAGAAAAGGAAAAGGGACCUCGGUGACAACGCUGUGAACAUCUAUGGAUUCCGCAUUCAAGUACUUUGUCACAACUGUCUCCACAAGUUGGUACAUCUUCUGUACAAGGCAAAGAAAACUCUAAAAACAUACAAAAAGUCAAUGUUAAUAAUGAGACAUUAUUAUUAAACAUCAACAAAG